CCUACGGGAGGCAGCAGUGGGGAAUAUUGGGCAAUGGGCGCAAGCCUUACCCAGCAAUACCGCGUGAGUGAAGAAGGUCUUCGGAUUGUAAAGCUCUUUGAUCAGGGACGAACAGAUGACGGUACCUGAAGAACAAGCCCCGGCUAACUACGUGCCAGCAGCCGCGGUAAAACGUAGGGGGCGAGCGUUGUCCGGAAUGACUGGGCGUAAAGGGUGGGUAGGCGGCAUAAUAAGUUAGAAGUGAAAUACCCAGGGCUUAACUCGGGUGCUGCUGCUAAGACUGUUGAGCGUGAGUGCGGGAGAGGUUAAUGGAAUUCCUAGUGUAGCGGUGGAAUGCGUAGAUAUUAGGAGGAACACCAGAGGCGAAGGCGAUUAACUGGACCGUAACUGACGCUGAGGCACGAAAGUGUGGGUAGCAAACAGGAUUAGAUACCCGAGUAGUC
rnacentral:rRNA from 1 species